AUUCCUGGAAGGGAUCAAGCAUCCAAUUGAUUCAUUUGCUCCCAUGCUCACCAAUGGAAGGAGAGAGAGGUCACUUCCUUUAACUGUUUCAAGAGACAAUAUCCAGUGGGGGAAGAAAGAGCCUCUGAAGGGAUGGAUGCUGAGCAGCCCAAAACAGCAAGCACACAGUCCAGAGUGGCAGGCAGUCACACCUCCUGGCCUUCUUCUGGUAACCUUGCUAUUCCCAGGAGAGCAAGACAAGAACUUUUGGAUGGAAGCAAAGUUCACAUUAUUAACACUGUCAGAAAAUGCUGGCCCCCGUUUUUAAAUGGAUGUGACUUUGGAAACUUGGGUGGUUAUCUACAUCAGAAAAACACCUUAUCCUGGGUUGCAUCGGAUGACUUGAACAAAACAAUGCGAUUUAGAUGGGGGAAAUGGGUGAAGACAGUACUGGAAUGCACUCACAGUUCACCUCUUUGA
rnacentral:lncRNA from 12 species